UGACCACAUCACAUUGAAACACCAGUUCCCAUACAAUCACCAAAGUUAAGCAACAUCAAACUUGGUUAGUAUCUCGAUGGGUGACCACUUGGAAAUACCAGGUGCU